AUGCAACUGCGUGAAGGAUAUGUACAUAGAUAUUCAUUCUGCACUGCAAAUGCACGCAUUUUUGUUCAAAAUAUAUUCUACCUGGUCAUGUGGAGAGAACAGAACAAAUACCAUCCUUCACUAUCUGUAAAUAUCUACAGGUUAUUUCUAUAUUUGGAGUAUGUAGUCUUUCUUGUAGGAGAUGCUUCAUACUAUAUUCGUUAUGAAAUACUCCUAUCAGAUACUCCAUUCUUCGUGAAAUACCGUAUACUCCAUACUACUUUCUUAAUACUCCAUACUACCUUUUCCAUAUAUACUACAUACUACAGAUUUCAUAUAUACUCCAUACUACUCUUGAUAACACAUAUUCUACAUACUCCCACAAGUCUUAAAGAAAUGUUCAAGCCACCGCUUCAUAGUAUGUUCAUAAAUGCACAAUCAAUAUUUAGUUUCAAAGAGAAGUAUGUAUGA
rnacentral:rRNA from 1 species